rnacentral:rRNA from 1 species
GGGAACUACAAGCGUAAGCUUAAAACCCAAAGGACUUGGCGGUGCUUUAGACCCCCCUAGAGGAGCCUGUUCUAGAACCGAUAACCCCCGUUCAACCUCACCUUUUCUUGCCCUUGCCGCCUAUAUACCGCCGUCGUCAGUAUACCCUGUGAAGGAAGCACAGUUAACGAAACCGGUAAAGCCCAAAACGCCAGGUCGAGGUGUAGCACACGAAAAGGGAAGAAAUGGGCUACAUUUCCUUACUCAGGAAACACGGACUGUGCUUUGAAAAAAGCACACAAAGGUGGAUUUAGCAGUAAGUGGGAAACAGAGAGUCCCGCUGAACCCGGCUCUGAAGCGCGCACACACCGCCCGUCACUCUCCCUGAAACCCACAACAGACUAUACUUAAUAAAUAAAGCUAGGCAAAAGGGAGGCAAGUCGUAACAUGGUAAGUGUACCGGAAGGUGUACUUGGAAGAAU